GGUCCGACCUCGAUUCCAAAAGUUUUAUCUUAUUAGAAUCUAAAAAACAUAUGACAAUUUGUAUGAUCCCCGCACGUGGGGUGCUUAACAUAUUUUCAACACAAAGUGGUCCACCCAGUCGCUGGACGUUGGAGUGGAGUAAAUAAAUUGAAUCACCGGUGACAACCAAAAGUUGACCGUUGGGUCUUUGGUUCCAUGUGGAUUUUAUCAAAUAAUCUUAUUAUCCAAACCCAUUUGUCGUAAAACAGAUACAUAUGAUGGAUAGACGUAACCAAAAAUAUGGAUGGAUUUACGUGACACAAACCUGGCACUUUUGAUUCGUUUUUCCCUAUCGGAGGUUUUGUAGUUGUAGUAGUAGUGAUAGUGGUAGUAGUAGUUGUUAUUGUUGUCGUCGGAGUUGUUACGCGGACGUUACUGGGUGUGAUUUAUUUACCAUAUAAAUGUUGAAGACCUGCAAUAUCGUCGUAUGACAAUAUCUUUAUUUAAGCUAUACCAACAUAAUGGCAUUGCGAUCGUUACUGUGCGCCAAACUCAACGUAUGUCCAAUUUCGUGUAACAAAACAGUAAACCAGCUCGUCGUUCCUCCCGGCCCAGGCACUUCUAAACCGUGCAUGUCCUAAUAUAUUAUCUCUUCCGUCGAAAGCAAAAGGGCAGGAUUCGUUUCCUUUACAUCUUUGCUUUGUAAGUGGCUCUGAGUAAUUUAAAAAAAAUAAACAAUUUUUAAAAUUAUUUGAUGACCCCACUUACUGAAAGUUUUGUUUAAAAAAUGUGUUUUAUAGGAAACGUGUCAUAUACAUACUUUGUUUUGUCCUAGAAAAAAUCGCGGUUUGUCCUUUUGACAAUAAUUCGCUUUUUUUACGUUGCAUAAUAAUCGAAUUAAAUUGAGUGUUUUUAAUAUCGUUUAAAUGACAGUGAAUUUAAUGUGAAUUUUGAUAUGCGUGUGUAACUUUUAAAAAAUAAACAAUUUUUAAAAUUAUUUGAUAACCCCACUUAUUUAAAUCAUACAAAGAGUACCGGGGGUUAGAAUUCCCGGUACGACAUCCACCGGCAAAGGAGUGUUGGUCAUGGGAGGGUGAGGCACGUCCCUCGUACACACUAGAACAUCAAAAGGAAUAUCAGCAGCAAGAGCAACCCGGUGGAUCGACCCGGGUGGGUGGUCGACAGAGUGGGACGGGGAGGAGGGUACUUCAUAUUUAGAUUUCUUGAGGGAACGGGAACAAGAACUCAAGCAACAGGAACAAUGGGAUGGUCGACGUCGGUGAAUCGACGCAAAAAGAAGAAACCCUUUGCCAACAUCACCGCAUCCCCGUGCCGCACCGUUAUCGCCAUCUGCCGGGGAAUAUUGGCGAGAGGCGCGCGCGCGACAUCUAGCAGCGACGGGCGGAACCGAACCAUCCCGGACAUGCACCGGGGCACACAGGGCGUUACGUAAAGAGGGGUUUUAAAAGGCGGAGCACACUCGGGUACACUAGGACGGGGACGGAGACUGAGGUUAUGUGCGGUUUUCUGCUCUAUAACCGGUGUUAUUUAUCUACUCACCUUUUUUGGAUUGCGGAUUCCCUCUCAAACUCACAUGGAGAGUACUAAAAAAACCCUAAAACCCAACCAACCUCCUAAACGUGUAUUAUGAAAAUCCAUAGUUGCAUGCCCUCUGGCGUUACACCGUAAAAUUACAAAAAAUAAUGCAAUAAAGCUUUAAACACGCGGACGCUAGAUGGUGC